GUGCCAGCAGCCGCGGUAAUACGUAGGGUGCGAGCGUUGUCCGGAAUUACUGGGCGUAAAGAGCUCGUAGGCGGUUUGUCGCGUCGUCUGUGAAAUCCUGCAACUCAAUUGCAGGCGUGCAGGCGAUACGGGCAGACUUGAGUACUACAGGGGAGACUGGAAUUCCUGGUGUAGCGGUGAAAUGCGCAGAUAUCAGGAGGAACACCGGUGGCGAAGGCGGGUCUCUGGGUAGUAACUGACGCUGAGGAGCGAAAGCGUGGGGAGCGAACAGGAUUAGAUACCCUGGUAGUCCACGCCGUAAACGGUGGGCGCUAGGUGUGGGGGUCUUCCACGACUUCUGUGCCGUAGCUAACGCAUUAAGCGCCCCGCCUGGGGAGUACGGCCGCAAGGCUAAAACUCAAAGGAAUUGACGGGGGCCCGCACAAGCGGCGGAGCAUGUGGAUUAAUUCGAUGCAACGCGAAGAACCUUACCUGGGCUUGACAUAUGCCGGAUCGGCGCAGAGAUGCGUUUUCCCUUGUGGUCGGUAUACAGGUGGUGCAUGGUUGUCGUCAGCUCGUGUCGUGAGAUGUUGGGUUAAGUCCCGCAACGAGCGCAACCCUUGUCUUGUGUUGCCAGCACGUUAUGGUGGGGACUCGCGAGAGACUGCCGGGGUUAACUCGGAGGAAGGUGGGGAUGACGUCAAAUCAUCAUGCCCCUUAUGUCCAGGGCUUCACACAUGCUACAAUGGUCGGUACAGUGGGUUGCGAUACCGUGAGGUGGAGCGAAUCCCUUAAAGCGUGUCUCAGUUCGGAUUGGGGUCUGCAACUCGACCCCAUGAAGUCGGAGUCGCUAGUAAUCGCAGAUCAGCAACGCUGCGGUGAAUACGUUCCCGGGCCUUGCACACACCGCCCGU
rnacentral:rRNA from 1 species